rnacentral:rRNA from 1 species
CUCCUACGGGUGGCAGCAGUGAGGAAUAUUGGUCAAUGGACGAGAGUCUGAACCAGCCAAGUAGCGUGAAGGAUGAAGGUUCUAUGGAUUGUAAACUUCUUUUAUACGGGAAUAAACGGAUCCACGUGUGGAUUUUUGCAUGUACCGUAUGAAUAAGGAUCGGCUAACUCCGUGCCAGCAGCCGCGGUAAUACGGAGGAUCCGAGCGUUAUCCGGAUUUAUUGGGUUUAAAGGGAGCGUAGAUGGGUUGUUAAGUCAGUUGUGAAAGUUUGCGGCUCAACCGUAAAAUUGCAAUUGAUACUGGCAGUCUUGAGUACAGUUGAGGUAGGCGGAAUUCGUGGUGUAGCGGUGAAAUGCUUAGAUAUCACGAAGAACUCCGAUUGCGAAGGCAGCUUACUAACCUGUAACUGACAUUGAUGCUCGAAAGUGUGGGUAUCAAACAGGAUUAGAUACCCUGGUAGUCCACACGGUAAACGAUGAAUACUCGCUGUAGGCGAUAUACAGUCUGCGGCCAAGCGAAAGCAUUAAGUAUUCCACCUGGGGAGUACGCCGGCAACGGUGAAACUCAAAGGAAUUGACGGGGGCCCGCACAAGCGGAGGAACAUGUGGUUUAAUUCGAUGAUACGCGAGGAACCUUACCCGGGCUUAAAUUGCAACCGAAUAUGGCGGAAACGCUAUAGCUAGCAAUAGCGGUUGUGAAGGUGCUGCAUGGUUGUCGUCAGCUCGUGCCGUGAGGUGUCGGCUUAAGUGCCAUAACGAGCGCAACCCUUGCCGAUAGUUACUAACAGGUUAUGCUGAGGACUCUGUCGGGACUGCCAUCGUAAGAUGUGAGGAAGGUGGGGAUGACGUCAAAUCAGCCCGGCCCUUACGUCCGGGGCUACACACGUGUUACAAUGGGGGGUACAGAGGGCUGCUACCACGCAAGUGGAUGCCAAUCCCAAAAACCUCUCUCAGUUCGGAUUGAAGUCUGCAACCCGACUUCAUGAAGCUGGAUUCGCUAGUAAUCGCGCAUCAGCCACGGCGCGGUGAAUACGUUCCCGGGCCUUGUACACACCGC